UGGGGAAUCUUCCGCAAUGGACGAAAGUCUGACGGAGCAACGCCGCGUGAGUGAUGAAGGAUUUCGGUCUGUAAAGCUCUGUUGUUUAUGACGAACGUGCAGUGUGUGAACAAUGCAUUGCAAUGACAGUAGUAAACGAGGAAGCCACGGCUAACUACGUGCCAGCAGCCGCGGUAAUACGUAGGUGGCGAGCGUUGUCCGGAAUUAUUGGGCGUAAAGAGCAUGUAGGCGGCUUAAUAAGUCGAGCGUGAAAAUGCGGGGCUCAACCCCGUAUGGCGCUGGAAACUGUUAGGCUUGAGUGCAGGAGAGGAAAGGGGAAUUCCCAGUGUAGCGGUGAAAUGCGUAGAUAUUGGGAGGAACACCAGUGGCGAAGGCGCCUUUCUGGACUGUGUCUGACGCUGAGAUGCGAAAGCCAGGGUAGCGAACGGG
rnacentral:rRNA from 1 species